rnacentral:rRNA from 1 species
GACGAACGCUGGCGGCGUGCUUAACACAUGCAAGUCGAACGAUGACGACCGAGCUUGCUCGGUCUGAUUAGUGGCGAACGGGUGAGUAACACGUGAGCAACCUGCCCUUCACUCUGGGAUAACCUCGGGAAAUCGGGGCUAAUACCGGAUAUGAGCUCCUGUCGCAUGGCGGGUGUUGGAAAGUUUUUCGGUGAAGGAUGGGCUCGCGGCCUAUCAGUUUGUUGGUGAGGUAGUGGCUCACCAAGGCGAUGACGGGUAGCCGGCCUGAGAGGGCGACCGGCCACACUGGGACUGAGACACGGCCCAGACUCCUACGGGAGGCAGCAGUGGGGAAUAUUGCACAAUGGGCGAAAGCCUGAUGCAGCGACGCCGCGUGAGGGAUGACGGCCUUCGGGUUGUAAACCUCUUCCAGCAGGGAAGAAGCGAAAGUGACGGUACCUGCAGAAGAAGCGCCGGCUAACUACGUG